rnacentral:rRNA from 1 species
GGUAACGGCCCACCAAGCCGACGAUCGGUAGCCGGACUGAGAGGUUGGACGGCCACAUUGGGACUGAGACACGGCCCAGACUCCUACGGGAGGCAGCAGUAAGGGAUAUUGGUCAAUGGGGGAAACCCUGAACCAGCAACGCCGCGUGAGGGAAGACGGUUUUCGGAUUGUAAACCUCUGUCCUCUGUGAAGAUGAUGACGGUAGCAGAGGAGGAAGCUCCGGCUAACUACGUGCCAGCAGCCGCGGUAAUACGUAGGGAGCGAGCGUUGUCCGGAUUUACUGGGUGUAAAGGGUGCGUAGGCGGCUUGGCAAGUCAGUAGUGAAAUCCAUGGGCUUAACCCAUGAACUGCUAUUGAAACUGUCGAGCUUGAGUGAAGUAGAGGUAGGCGGAAUUCCCGGUGUAGCGGUGAAAUGCGUAGAGAUCGGGAGGAACACCAGUGGCGAAGGCGGCCUACUGGGCUUUAACUGACGCUGAGGCACGAAAGCGUGGGUAGCAAACAGGAUUAGAUACCCUGGUAGUCCACGCUGUAAACGAUGAUUACUAGGUGUGGGUGGACUGACCCCAUCC